CCAAGGCGGAGCGCAACGUUUCAUUCUAUCUUGUUCUCCGCCAGUGCGUAGUGUGAACGAGGGAUCAUGGUUGAGUUACUACAACUUGGUGAGCCGAAGAAUUAGCAAUUGUCCAUGCUGUCAACAUUUCUCAGACGAGAUAGACGAUGUACCGGCAUUUUAAUGGGAGCCAUGCAGAGAAGCAGAUGGGUGCCGUGCUGCCAGCCAGCCAGCCAGUCAGUCACAGGAAACAACUUCAACACGCCGAAAUUGCUGAAUGGUUCGGCGCAGCUUGUGGCCGCGUGGGCGCCACCCCGACACGCCGUCACUGUUACAGCGGACAGGAUGAAAACCCCAGCAGUCCCUGACACGCUGCAUUCAAAGUGACGUUCUGUAACAAUUGCUUCGCUCUGUACGACAUUGUCGACAUUCAGCCGAACUUCACUAACUCUGCUGUUAAUGAACUAACAUGAAAUGAAACAAUGGAAAAUCCAAGAUGGAAUGUAACAAUACGAGAGAAGGGAAGUUGCUACUCACCAUUUAGCACAGAUGCUGAGUCGCGAUAGGCACAAUAAAAAGAUUGACACAAUCAUAGCUUUCCGACAUUAAGGCCUCUGCAGUUUAGACGGAGGGUAGGUGAGAAGGUGUAGAGUGGGGGACGGGGUAAGUAGGAGAAAGGAGAGAAAUAAAAAUAAAGGAAAUUAAGACUGGGUGUGGCAGUGAAAUGACGGCUGUGUAGUGCUGGAAUGGGAACAGGGAGUGGGCUGGAUGGGUGAUGUCAUGAACAUAAAGAUCUGAGUGCAGUCUCUUCGGAAGGUCAAUCUAUCUGAUGAAACCUGUGAAAUAUUUAUGUCAAAUUUGAGGGUGCAGAGAGCACCAAAGGGAAGAUCCAAAGGACUGUCGAUAUGCCCCAUCAAUUCGAAAGUAUUCUCUCUCAAUAAUCCAGGAAAGCAUUCUGUCGAAGUGCAACCUGAAAAAUUCUGGACAUUUUAUCAUGGUUUCCCAGAACAAUCCCCCUAAGUGUCACACAAGUAAGUAAAAAGGACUGAGAAAAGCCUCCAAAGUGAGUAAAUGAAUUUGGGGACACAUUUUUUUUGAUGUAUUUUGUUUCACAGAAACAGCCUAUCAACAAUGUGAAAUUCAAUUUCCGGUCACAUCAUAAGUGCAUUUACUCAUUGUCAUCUGGCACAACGGCAAAAAGAUUUAUCGCCAAUUUCAUUAAACAUGCCCAUUCCAUACCUUUGAAAUUCUGGUACCUCUGGAUUCAAUGUCGACUCCAGCACCAUCAGUUGCCGAACUAUAAGAAAAAACACAAACGCGCGUGCACACGUGCGCGCGCAUACUCCGUGUUGUCACAGCAGCCAUGCCAGAAGUGUCACAACAGAAAUCCCCCCAGAUUUGUAAUCAACAGAAAAACUUUGCAGCAUCGUAAAUCUCAGAAAGCUCAAGUGGGGACCUAGGGGAAAGGGUGGAAGGAGAUGUAUGAAUUAUAUUCAUUUACUAUACAUAUUUCAUAACUGGGAAGCUUUCUGUGUAUGCUAGUUUUAUAGAAACACAGCAGCCAGUCAACUGUCUAUAUGUAAAAUGAUAACAUAGCUUCACAUUCUACUUUGGAACACAGCCAAACUAAGUACU